rnacentral:rRNA from 1 species
GACGAACGCUGGCGGCGUGCUUAAUACAUGCAAGUCGAGCGGAAAGGCCCUGCUCUUGUGGGGUGCUCGAGAGGCGCACAGGUGAGUGACACGCGAGUAUAAUGUCCCUGUCUUUGGGAUAAAACCUGGAAAAUGGGGCGAUUAUACCAUAGAAUAUCCUGAAGCAUGGGGGGGGAUGGAGAGUUGCGGCGGUUGGGGAUGGAAUCGCGGCUUAUCAGCUUGUUGGUGGGGUAGUGGCUUACCAGGGCUUCGACGGGUAGCCGGCCUGGGAGGGGGACCGGGCACAAUGGGACUGAGAGACGGCCCAGACGCCAACGGGAGGCAGCGGUGGAGAACAUUGCACAACAGGCGGAAGCCAGAGGCAGCAACGCCGCGUGCGUGAUGACCGCUUUCGGGGUAUAAACCGCUUUCGCCUGUGACGAAGCGUGAGUGACGGUAAUUGGUAAAAAAGCACCGGCUAACUACGUG